rnacentral:rRNA from 1 species
UACGUAGGGGGCCAGCGUUGCUCGGAAUUACUGGGCGUAAAGGGUUCGUAGGCGGUUCGGCCAGUUGGGAGUGAAAUCUCUGGGCUUAACCCAGAGGCUGCUUCUAAAACUGCCGUGCUAGAGUGCGAGAGAGGCCAGUGGAAUUGCAGGUGUAGCGGUGAAAUGCGUAGAUAUCUGCAGGAACACCCGUGGCGAAGGCGGCUGGCUGGAUCGAAACUGACGCUGAGGAACGAAAGCGAGGGGAGCAAACAGG